rnacentral:lncRNA from 1 species
CUCUUGUGCCCUAUUUUGGUGUUUUAAACUUCUUUGCUGUACAUUUAAGAAAAUCAGAAUUUCAGUAGACUCCUCGUGCAGUCUGAGGAGGCAGUUUCCUAUCUGGUUUGACUUAAGGGGCUGCAGAAGACAUUCUUAUCCCACAUAUUUCUUCUGCUGAUCAGUCAGCAACUGAAAUUCCAACUAAUGGAUUCCAUUCUUCCAGUUAAGACAUCAUCUCCAGAAAACUGUGCUAGUUGGCAUCCAGCAGUGCCCAAGUAUUAUUUAACCCACUAGAACCUGUGACUGCAUCAGCUUUAUAUCCUGGACCUCAGCCUGGAACAAAGGAGAGCUACACUUGGAUACUAAACACAAGUGGUCUGGAUAGAUUAUGCUGGGAAAAGAAGCCUGGAGCAGGCAGUACAGUGGGAGAACAAGUUCAACCAAUCUACAAAGGCCAAAAAUAUUUUCACAGGCCCCCAAAAGAUGAACUCCAAUCUGCUGCCCCUAAACGCAUUCUCCACUGUCUGGAAGAUGUGCAAAGGCAACGGCACAGCGUUCUCCAUCUCAAAUCCUUCAAAGUGCUGUCAGAAUAAAAGAAUCCCCACCAAAAGCCCCAGGGAAAUCUAUCUGUCUGUAUGGUAUGGUAAUGACUGAGGUUAUUCCAGAUAGGAUUCUGGGAGAAACUCAGCUAUUGAAAUCUAAUGAAUGGAACUGAGAAUUUCUUGUUAUAAUACUGUUUGUUUGAUUGAAUAUAUCCUUGCAUAUAGGAAGACAUAAAAAUAAAUAAUAAAAGCAAGAUAUUAUUUGAA